GCAAGUCGAACGGCAGCACGGGUGCUUGCACCUGGUGGCGAGUGGCGAACGGGUGAGUAAUACAUCGGAACAUGUCCUGUAGUGGGGGAUAGCCCGGCGAAAGCCGGAUUAAUACCGCAUACGAUCUAUGGAUGAAAGCGGGGGACCUUCGGGCCUCGCGCUAUAGGGUUGGCCGAUGGCUGAUUAGCUAGUUGGUGGGGUAAAGGCCUACCAAGGCGACGAUCAGUAGCUGGUCUGAGAGGACGACCAGCCACACUGGGACUGAGACACGGCCCAGACUCCUACGGGAGGCAGCAGUGGGGAAUUUUGGACAAUGGGCGAAAGCCUGAUCCAGCAAUGCCGCGUGUGUGAAGAAGGCCUUCGGGUUGUAAAGCACUUUUGUCCGGAAAGAAAUCCUUGGCUCUAAUACAGUCGGGGGAUGACGGUACCGGAAGAAUAAGCACCGGCUAACUACGUGCCAGCAGCCGCGGUAAUACGUAGGGUGCAAGCGUUAAUCGGAAUUACUGGGCGUAAAGCGUGCGCAGGCGGUUUGCUAAGACCGAUGUGAAAUCCCCGGGCUCAACCUGGGAACUGCAUUGGUGACUGGCAGGCUAGAGUAUGGCAGAGGGGGGUAGAAUUCCACGUGUAGCAGUGAAAUGCGUAGAGAUGUGGAGGAAUACCGAUGGCGAAGGCAGCCCCCUGGGCCAAUACUGACGCUCAUGCACGAAAGCGUGGGGAGCAAACAGGAUUAUAUACCCUGGUAGUCCACGCCCUAGACGAUGUCAACUAGUUGUUGGGGAUUCAUUUCCUUAGUAACGUAGCUAACGCGUGAAGUUGACCGCCUGGGGAGUACGGUCGCAAGAUUAAAACUCAAAGGGAUUGACGGGGGCCCGCACAAGCGGUGGAUGAUGUGGAUUAAUUCGAUGCAACGCGAAAAACCUUACCUACCCUUGACAUGGUCGGAAUCCUGAAGAGAUUCGGGAGUGCUCGAAAGAGAACCGGCGCACAGGUGCUGCAUGGCUGUCGUCAGCUCGUGUCGUGAGAUGUUGGGUUAAGUCCCGCAACGAGCGCAACCCUUGUCCUUAGUUGCUACGCAAGAGCACUCUAAGGAGACUGCCGGUGACAAACCGGAGGAAGGUGGGGAUGACGUCAAGUCCUCAUGGCCCUUAUGGGUAGGGCUUCACACGUCAUACAAUGGUCGGAACAGAGGGUUGCCAACCCGCGAGGGGGAGCUAAUCCCAGAAAACCGAUCGUAGUCCGGAUUGCACUCUGCAACUCGAGUGCAUGAAGCUGGAAUCGCUAGUAAUCGCGGAUCAGCAUGCCGCGGUGAAUACGUUCCCGGGUCUUGUACACACCGCCCGUCACACCAUGGGAGUGGGUUUUACCAGAAGUGGCUAGUCUAACCGCAAGGAGGACGGU
rnacentral:rRNA from 1 species